rnacentral:rRNA from 1 species
AGAGUUUGAUCAUGGCUCAGAUUGAACGCUGGCGGCAUGCCUAACACAUGCAAGUCGAACGGUAACGACGGGAGCUUGCUCCCGGGCGACGAGUGGCGGACGGGUGAGUAAUACUUAGGAAUCUGCCCAGUAGUGGGGGACAACUCGAGGAAACUCGAGCUAAUACCGCAUACGCCCUACGGGGGAAAGCGGGGGAUCUUCGGACCUCGCGCUAUUGGAUGAGCCUAAGUCGGAUUAGCUUGUAGGUAGGGUAACGGCCUACCUAGGCGACGAUCCGUAGCUGGUCUGAGAGGACGAUCAGCCACACUGGAACUGAGACACGGUCCAGACUCCUACGGGAGGCAGCAGUGGGGAAUAUUGGACAAUGGGCGCAAGCCUGAUCCAGCAAUGCCGCGUGUGUGAAGAAGGCCUGCGGGUUGUAAAGCACUUUCAGUGGAGAAGAAAAGCCUACGGUUAAUAACCGUGAGUCUUGACGUAACCCACAGAAGAAGCACCGGCUAACUCCGUGCCAGCAGCCGCGGUAAUACGGAGGGUGCGAGCGUUAAUCGGAAUUACUGGGCGUAAAGCGCGCGUAGGCGGUUUGGUCAGUCGAAUGUGAAAGCCCAGGGCUUAACCUUGGAACUGCGUUCGAUACUGCCUGACUAGAGUAUGGUAGAGGGAAGUGGAAUUUCCGGUGUAGCGGUGAAAUGCGUAGAUAUCGGAAGGAACACCAGUGGCGAAGGCGACUUCCUGGGCCAAUACUGACGCUGAGGUGCGAAAGCGUGGGGAGCAAACAGGAUUAGAUACCCUGGUAGUCCACGCCGUAAACGAUGAGAACUAGAUGUCGGGAGGGUUGCCUUUCGGUGUCGCAGCUAACGCGUUAAGUUCUCCGCCUGGGGAGUACGCCGGCAACGGUAAAACUCAAAUGAAUUGACGG